CCUAAACGUACUGUUGCAGUGAUUGUGCAAGGAACAUCGAGAUUAUAAUGCUGCCAAUAUUCUCAGGGAUUGCCGCUGUGAUCCUAAUGUUUUAUAUUGGAUCCUCUCUGACAGAUGAAUCGGA